rnacentral:rRNA from 1 species
UUUUUGGAGAGUUUGAUCCUGGCUCAGGACGAACGCUGGCGGCGUGCCUAACACAUGCAAGUCGAACGGAGAAGUUCAAUAAGUUUACUUAUUGAACAUCUUAGUGGCGGACGGGUGAGUAACGCGUGGGUAACCUACCCAUAAAGCCGGGACAACCCUUGGAAACGAGGGCUAAUACCGGAUAAUCUUAGAA